GUGAGUCAUCGAAUCUUUGAACGCAAGUUGCGCCCGAUGCCAUUAGGUUGAGGGCACGUCUGCCUGGGUGUCACAUAUCGAAGCCUCCUGCCAAUUUCCUUUUGACGGGUAUUGUGCAGGGUGGAUGUUGGCCUCCCGUGAGCUCUCUUUCGUCUCAUGGUUGGUUGAAAAUUGAGACCUUGGUAGGGUGUGCCAUGAUAAAUGGUGGUUGUGUGACCCACGAGACCAAUCAUGUGUUGCUCUAUUGAAUUUGGGCUCUUUUACCCAUUUGCGUUUCUAAACGCUCGUGAUGAGACCUCAGGUCAGGCGGGGCUACCCGCUGAAUUUAA
rnacentral:rRNA from 1 species